rnacentral:rRNA from 1 species
UAGGGAAUCUUCGGCAAUGGGGGGAACCCUGACCGAGCAACGCCGCGUGAGUGAUGAAGGUCUUCGGAUCGUAAAACUCUGUUAUUAGGGAAGAACAAAUGUGUAAGUAACUAUGCACAUCUUGACGGUACCUAAUCAGAAAGCCACGGCUAACUACGUGCCAGCAGCCGCGGUAAUACGUAGGUGGCAAGCGUUAUCCGGAAUUAUUGGGCGUAAAGCGCGCGUAGGCGGUUUUUUAAGUCUGAUGUGAAAGCCCACGGCUCAACCGUGGAGGGUCAUUGGAAACUGGUUGACUUGAGUGCAGAAGAGGAGAGUGGAAUUCCAUGUGUAGCGGUGAAAUGCGUAGAUAUAUGGAGGAACACCAGUGGCGAAGGCGACUCUCUGGUCUGUAACUGAUGCUGAGGCUCGAAAGCGUGGGUAGCAAACAGG